CAGCCGCCGCGGUAGGACAGAGGGUGCAAACGUUGUUCGGAAUUACUGGGCGUAAAGCGAGUGUAGGCGGUCUCAAAAGUCAGGUGUGAAAGCCUUGGGCUCAACCCAGGAAGUGCACUUGAAACUGCGAGGCUAGAGUACUGGAGAGGUUGGUGGAACUCUCGGUGUAGAGGUGAAAUUCGUAGAUAUCGAGAGGAACACCGGUGGCGAAGGCGGCCAACUGGACAGGUACUGACGCUGAGACUCGAAAGCGUGGGGAGCAAACAGGAUUAGAUACCCCCGUAGUCCCUGUCUCUUAUAC
rnacentral:rRNA from 1 species